CCCUUCGUUAGGCGCGUGGAUUACGAUUGUAAUCCACCACUAUUCCAACGCCGAUAUUUUCCUAAUUUCAUUGGUUAUGUAAGCGCGGACCUCAGUAGCUGUCAAUUACAUCUCUUUCUAGCGAUUCAGUAUUCAGUAAGCGGUGGGAAAUAUUUUUGCUGGAAUUUAGGAGCGUCUAAACACGACUGGAUUACCAUUGUAAUCCGCGCGCCUAACUGCGUUACGUUUGCUCCUUCGAGCAAAGGUAACGCAGUGUUGUCAUAAAUUUGGAAUAUAAUAUGUCUGACCCUAAAAAUAAAUCCGUUAUUUUAGUAUCUUCAAUGCACCAUGAUGUUGCGAUCGAUCUGGAAACAGAAGAUAAAAGAGAACCAGAAAUAGUGACAUUUUAUAACCACACCAAAAUUGGCGUCGACUUAGUGGACCAACUAUGCCAAAAAUACAACAUUGCGAAAAAUGCAAUGGUUGUUUUUUACAAUCUGCUGAACGUAGCUGGAAUAAAUGCCGUCUGCAUUUACAAAGCGAACCAUCCUACGGAAAAAAAAAGUAAGGAGUGAUUUCAUUGAAAAAUUUGCUUGGGAACUCAUCAAGACACAAAAAGAGGCCAGGUCGAAUAUGAUCUGCUUACCCAUGGAACUCAGAAGACGAGCGCGUUCCCUCCUUGGACUCGAAGCGACAUUACCCCCGCCUUCUGAUCUACCAAGGCAAGAAAAUCCUAUAAGACGAUGUAAUAUAUGUCCUAGAAGCCGUAACAAGUCAACAAGGAAAGUGUGCGUGAAAUGCAAAAGACACGCUUGCAAGCAACAUGCAGUAGAUAUUUGCACUGAAUGUUUAGAUGGUUGAAGAAAUGACCAUAAUUGUGUGAAUUUUCCAUGAAUAUGAUAACUUCUAUCGAAUGUAGCAAAUUGUAUUUUUCAUAUUUGGUUUGUCUUUCUUCAGAAUAUCUGUUUUUUUUCAGCUAUUCAUAAUUGUUUUUUGUUUGUUGUCCAAAAUGUACAAGACGCAGAUAAAACUAUGAAAAACGUGAUUCUUUCGCUUUCUUAUUCAAACAGUGAGAUUCUUGAAAAUUUUCAUAAAAAAUUUUUUUCAUCAUUGAAGCAGAUACAUCAACAAAACUGAAUAACCAAUUUAGCCAAUGAUUAUAGUCUGAGUAUGUGAUUUAAUGACAAAUCAUUUUGGAUUACGUUUGUAAUCCACGCGCCUAAACGCGUUAGGAAAUACCGCGCGCCUAACGAAGGGUUAAU